rnacentral:rRNA from 1 species
GAGUACCGAAGUUCCUGAUUUCACACUGCCAAGAAAAGCCUCUAGUGAGGAUGUGGGUGCCCGUACCGCAAACCGACACAGGUAGGCGAGGAGAGAAUCCUAAGGUGAGCGGGAUAACUCUCGUUAAGGAACUCGGCAAAAUGACCCCGUAACUUCGGGAGAAGGGGUGCUCGUUCAGGUUUCGGCCUGGAUGAGCCGCAGUGAAAAGGCCCAAGCGACUGUUUAUCAAAAACACAGGUCUCUGCGAAGCCGAAAGGCGAAGUAUAGGGGCUGACACCUGCCCGGUGCUGGAAGGUUAAGGGGACGAGUUAGUCCUUCGGGACGAA